AGUGAACGCUGGCGGCAGGCCUAAUACAUGCAAGUCGAACGGCAGCACAGCAGAGCUUGCUCUGUGGGUGGCGAGUGGCGGACGGGUGAGGAAUACAUGGGAAUCUGCCCAGUCGUGGGGGAUAACGUAUGGAAACGUACGCUAAUACCGCAUGCGCCCUAAGGGGGAAAGCCGGGGACCGCAAGGCCUGGCGCGAUUGGAUGAGCCCAUGUUCGAUUAGCUAGUUGGCGGGGUAAAGGCCCACCAAGGCGACGAUCGAUAGCUGGUCUGAGAGGAUGAUCAGCCACACUGGAACUGAGACACGGUCCAGACUCCUACGGGAGGCAGCAGUAGGGAAUAUUGGACAAUGGGGGCAACCCUGAUCCAGCCAUGCCGCGUGAGUGAAGAAGGCCCUCGGGUUGUAAAGCUCUUUUGUCCGGAAAGAAAAGCAAUCGGUUAAUACCCGGUUGUUCUGACGGUACCGGAGAAUAAGCACCGGCUAACUUCGUGCC
rnacentral:rRNA from 1 species